AACGAACGCUGGCGGCGUGCCUAACACAUGCAAGUCGAGCGGUAACAGGCCCUUCGGGUGCUGACGAGUGGCGGAUGGGUGAGUAAUACUUAGGAAUCUACCCUGUAGUGGGGGACGAACCCGGGAAACGUCGGCUAAUACCGCAUACGCUCUACGGAGGAAAGCGGGGACCGCAAGGCCUCGCGCUAUUGGAUGAGCCUAAGCCCGAUUAGCUAGUUGGUGGGGUAAUGGCCUACCAAGGCAAUGAUCGGUAGCUGGUCUGAGAGGACGACCAGCCACACUGGGACUGAGACACGGCCCAGACUCCUACGGGAGGCAGCAGUGGGGAAUAUUGGACAAUGGGCGAAAGCCUGA
rnacentral:rRNA from 1 species